rnacentral:lncRNA from 1 species
CCCAAAUGUGCCCUGGGUUUGUGUCAUAUCCUUGGGACCCCAAUAAUGGCACAGGGGUCCCCAAAUGUGCCCCGUGUUCACAUCAUGUCCCUGGGACCCCAAUAAUGGCACAGGGGUUCCCAAAUGUGCCCUGGGUUUGUGUCAUAUCCUUGGGACCCCAAUAAUGGCACAGGGGUCCCCAAAUGUGCCCCGUGUUCACAUCAUGUCCCUGGGACCCCAAUAAUGGCACAGGGGUUCCCAAAUGUGCCCUGGGUUUGUGUCAUAUCCUUGGGACCCCAAUAAUGUCAGGGGGGUCCCCAAAUGUGCCCCAUGCUCACAUUGUGUCUUGGGGACCCCAGUAAUGGCACAGGGGUCCCCAAAUGUGCCCCACACUCACAUUGUGUCCUGGGGACCCCAGUAAUGGCACGGGGGUCCCCAAAUGUGUCCCAUGUUUGUGUCAUGUCCCUGGGACCCCAAUAAUGGCAUGGGGGUCCCCAAAUGUGCCCCGUGUUUGUGCUGUGAUCCUGGGACCCCAAUAAUAUCAGGGGGGUCCCCAAAUGUGCCCUGGGUUUGUGUCAUAUCCUUGGGACCCCAAUAAUGGCACAGGGGUCCCCAAAUGUGCCCCGUGCUUGCAUCGUGUGUCUGGGACUCUGAUAACAGCACAGGGGGCCCCAAAUGUGUCCCAUGUUAGUGUCAUGUCCCCGAGACCCCAAUAAUGACGGGGGGGGCCUCAAAUGUGCCCCAGGUUUGUGUUGUGGCCCUGGGAUCCCAAUAAUGGCACAGGGGUCCCCAAAUGUGCCCUAUGUUUGCAUCAUGUCCCUGGGACCCCAGUAAUGGCAGAGGGGUCCCCAAAUGUGCCCCGUGUUUGUACUGUGACCCUGGUACCCCAAUAAUGGCACGGGGGGGCCCAAACGUACCCUGGGUUUGUGUCAUAUCCUUGGGACCCCCAUAAUGGCAUGGAGGUCCCCAGAUGUGCCCCAUGCUCAUUCGGCACCCCCUUUUCCUCCCCCUACACACCCCCAUAGGGGUGCUGGCCCCACCCCAUACAGCAGCGAGUUUGGGGGUGCCCCCCAGCCCCUCCUCCCUUACCCCCCCCCUCUUUUUCUCCGCAGGGGGAGGGUUUACACCAGCUCCGCGAGGCUUUGAAGAUUUUAGCCGAGCGGGUUUUAAUCUUGGAAACAAUGAUUGGGCUCUAUGGCCCGUAGCUUCCAGAGCCUCCUGCGGCAGCAGGCCCGGCUGGAGGUCCUGGCCAGGAGGGUCACCUUGCUGGAAGCCAUCAUCUGGCCAGAACCCGAGCCCGGUUCGGGCAGUGGGGGU